GCAGCCUUCAGAUGAAGAUGUAAACUCUCAGCUCCUUCUGCACCAUGCCUGCUUAGAGCUGCCAUGUUCCUGCCUUGAUGAUAAUGGACUGAGCCUCUGAACCGAUGGGGGAAACUGAGGAAAGGCAUGGGUGAUGGAAAGUAGACUUCACAACUGCUUGCUCGCUGGCCCCAUGAUGUCCUGACACCAGAUUCUGGACUCCUGGAGGCUGCAUGUGAAGCCCAGCACGGUCAGUGACAGCUAUGCCUGGUACAAGUGUUGUAUAAAGGAUACCAAGCAUCCACUGGGCUUCCGGGCACCUUCCUUUCAGACUAGAGGUUCUGGGUUCCAACAGCAUACACAGGAGGACAACCAUCAGAGACCAUGGACAGGGCCAGAUCACAUGCCCUGGAAAGACGCUAGGGUCUGGCUGCUGAACUAUCGCUUAUGAAUUUAGAAGGACUUUGACAAACUACUCAACCCUUUACUGUUCAGCAACCUCAUUCAAGAUGUUCUUGAUGAUCAGGCAGGUCGAUGUCUGAUUUGACCUGAUCUCAUUGAUGACUGGUCCCUACUGUGUGGGCCUCAAGCACAGACCAGGCUGCUACUGUAUGGGAGAGUCCUUGGUUAUAACUUUGUUACAACUUUUUCUCUGACUCUCUGGUUUCUGGCAUAGUGGCUUCUGAGAGCCCCGGGGCUUGGCCAGUAUCCCCAGCCUUUUGGGAUGAAGAACAGACUGGAGGCUGGACUGUCCCAACAGCUUCAAAAUGAGGCUGAUCACCAACCAGGACAGCCAACAAGUCUGGCUGCCACAGAGGAGAUGACUGGGAGAGAGUAAAUGACAGAUCUGCUUAUUGCAUGAACACAGGAGCUCUGAGCAGGGUGUCUUGCUCUAGAAUCUGGACUACAGGUGUUGGAGAAAAAAUGGACAGCGAAAUCACACGGGACCUCUGACCUCUGUACGGCUGACCCCCUGUUUGGUAGAGGACACUCGUAAAUUGAUUACUACAAAUGAACAGAACGUGUCUGUCAACUGUGACAAGGGCAGUGUGAGAUAAAUCAGCUGCAGUAGGAAAGCUUAGAAAGGGGGUUUGAUCCUGCUGUGAAGGACAAGUUCUGCCCGGCAAACAAGAGCAGGCAGCACUGAAGGAAGGAGGGUGAAGCUCCAGUGAGCAGCUGUAGAGCAUAGAAGCUGUACCCUGGAGACCUUGGCCAAGACAAGCAGCAUUGGACCUCUGACCUGGAUCCCAAAUGUUUCUUUUUCAUUGUGUGCACAGACAUGCU
rnacentral:lncRNA from 1 species